UGAGUUGAUUAGCUCUUUAAAGUACUUGGAUAAGAUGGACGCAGAGGGGAAUGAGAGGCCUGAGUCGGAUGAUGAGGAUGAGGACACCGAAGGGAAUCAGAGGCCUGAGUUGGAUGAUGAGGAUGAGGACGCUGAGGAGAAUGAAAGGCCUGAGUUGGAUGAUGAAGAUGAGGAUGAGGAUGAUGAUGACGAGGAUGAUGCUGGGAGCGGGGAAAUUGAAGGGGAGAAUUGGCCUUUUAGGGUGAGUAAUGGGCAUCCAAGUAGGAACGAGGGGGUUAUUGAUGUUGAUGAGGAUGAGGAGAGUGAUGCGGAUGAGGAGGUAACUGAGACUUCUAGAGGGAUUAACGGAUUAAUUGGUGCGGAUGAGGACACCGAAGGGAAUCAGAGGCCUGAGUUGGAUGAUGAGGAUGAGGACGCUGAGGAGAAUGAAAGGCCUGAGUUGGAUGAUGAAGAUGAGGAUGAGGAUGAUGAUGACGAGGAUGAUGCUGGGAGCGGGGAAAUUGAAGGGGAGAAUUGGCCUUUUAGGUUGAGUAAUGGGUAUCCAAGUAGGAACGAGGGGGUUAUUGAUGUUGAUGAGGAUGAGGAGAGUGAUGCGGAUGAGGAGGUAACUGAGACUUCUAGAGGGGUUAACGGAUUAAUUGGUGCUAGCAAUUCCCAUCAUCUUUCGAAUGGGUUUAGAGUGGAGGAUGAAGGUGAUAUGAGUGAGGAAGAUGAUGAUUCAGUGGAAGAGAUAUAUGAAGAAGGUGAGGGUGAGGGUGAGGAUGAGGAAGAUGAUGUGGUAGAGGUCCACGAGAUAGAUGACAGUAGUGACGAGGAGGAUGGGGUGGAGG
rnacentral:lncRNA from 1 species